rnacentral:sRNA from 1 species
UAAGAGAGAAAAUGGCAAACUUUUAAUUUUAUCCGUCAUCGUAGCUAAACUGGUAUAGAACCAACCAUUGUUCAAAAUAGUACUAACCAAAAAACACCACAAAAUGGGCUUCUUUAAAAAAGCCCAACAUAAAAAGUCUUAACAGAUCAAAAAAAAGCAAGUAAAAGAGAUAGAGAUAGGAGAAAGAGAGAGGUCAAUGUCCAACAAAUUAGUCGACCUCCUCGAUCUUAGGUCCAGCACCGCCUGAAGCAGGGGGAGCAUCAUCGUCCAUACCAGAGGCACCUGGACCACCGGCUUCACCACCAGCUCCUUGGUACAUCUUGGCAAUGAUUGGGUUGCAGAUGCUCUCCAAUUCCUUCAUCUUGUCUUCGAACUCAUCAGCCUCAGCCAACUGGUUACCCUCGAGCCAUUGAAUCGCCUGCUCAAUAGAAUCCUCGAUCUUCUUCUUGUCUGCAGCCGGGAGCUUCUCACCAAUCUUCUCGUCUUGGAUGGUGUUCCUCAUGUUGUAAGCGUAGUUCUCGAGAGCGUUCUUGGCUUCAACCUUCUUCUUGUGCUCCUCGUCUUCGGACUUGUACUUCUCAGCCUCUUGAACCAUCUUCUCAAUCUCAUCCUUGGAGAGACGACCCUUGUCAUUGGUGAUGGUGAUCUUGUUCUUCUGUCCGGUGGUCUUGUCCUCAGCAGAGACAUUGAGGAUACCAUUGGCAUCAAUGUCAAAGCAGACUGUGAUCUGGGGGACAC